GGCCCCAUCGUCUAGUGGUUAGGACAUCAGGUUUUCAUCCUGAAAGCAGGAGUUCGAUUCUCCUUGGGGUCA
rnacentral:tRNA from 1 species